UAUUGCCUUUCUACUUCACCAUCAUGGACUUAGAGCAAGCAGUCAGCCACUCUGGACUCACUAAUGGUCUCAGGUGCCAAAUGCAAGUAUCUCCUAAGCAUUCCUGAAGCUUCUGGGGUUGUGCCAUGGCCCACAUCCUCUGUCAGAGAUGGAGGGAAGGACAGAUGGAACCUGAGGUCAUCAAAAAAGCAUGUCACAUGCAGGACUCAACAAAAACACUGCCUUCAGCCCCAGAGAGCAGAGCAUUUUCUGUCAGCAAUUCUGAGCUUCCCUGUCUGACCUGGGGCUCAGGACCUGGAGCCUGUGCUGAGUGACUGAGAGGAGCAGCCCUGCAGCUGUGACCAGCCUGCCCAGCCCUGCUGAUUUGCAUGUGCCCACAGCACAGCCCACUGCCCUGAGGGCUUCUUAAGAGGCUGCUCACACCCUGUGCAGGGGUCAGUUCCAGCCAGGACACAACAUGGCCAUGAGGGGCCCUGCUCAGCUCCUGGGGCUCCUGCUGCUCUGUCUCAUGGAUACAGAUGAAAAGUCCUGGGGAUUUACUAAUCCCAGUGUGGUCAGUGCUGCCUGGAUCCUCAGGGAAAUUCUCUUUUAACAUGAUUAACAUUGUGCAUAUUUGUUUUCAUGUGUUCAAUGUCAGGUUCCAGAUGUGACAUCAAAUUGACCAUCCUCCCUGUCUCCAUCCUCCCUGUCUAAAUCUCAAGGAGAAAGAGUCACAGUCAACUGCAGGGCCAGUCAGGGCAUUAGCAAUUACUUAAAAAUGGUACUAGCAGAAAUAAGGGCAAGCUCCUAAUCUCCUGAUCUAUGGGGCAAACUGCUUGCUAUCUGGGGUCCCCUCGAGGUUCAGUGGCAGGGCAUAAAGGACAGAUUCCACUCUCAGUAUAAGCAGCUUGAUUCUGAAGAUAUUUCCACUUAUUACUGUGAACAGUAUGAUGAGUGUCCUCCCACAGGAUACAGGCCAUGACAAAAACCUCCCAGGGAGUUUGAGGCUGGGCUGCCCCAGCUGCUCUUCUUGCUGCCUCCUCCUGCUGAGGACACCUGUCAGAGGUAGCCAGGCUCUUGGAGACAUUGGUAGAAGAUUCCAGAAAGGUGCCUCUGCACAUGAAACCUCUUUCUGCUUCUUAGGCCAAGCAGGCAGAUAUGACAGUGAAUAGUCAAAGGUCAGAACUCAGAAGGGAUAGGCCCCAGUGGAAGUCUUGCUCAAAGGCAGAGACCACACCAGAAGGCUAACCUGUACAAAUACUAAUGAGGUUCAUGAAGACCUUUUCCAAAUGUAAAAUCCCAUGAGGCUCAUAUGUGGGAACACUCCAGCUAACUCCUUCUUCCAGAGAUGUGGAAAAAUAGAAGGUGGCAGUGAACCCAGAUGGAAAUCACAGGAAGGGUUAAGCCUUCAGCUUGAAGUGCAAACUAAUGACCUUGACCCUUUCUCAAUACCACUUUAACAUAGACUGAUCUAAGCUCAGACAGUAAACCACAUAAGCCCAUAAAUUAGCACACCCAAAGGGUGUAUCAGGCCCUCUCCCUUGUUGAGGGACUUCUCUCAUUUUUCCUUGAAAUAAAUCCUACUCCAUUUUUCCUUCCCUUCCAUUAUUGUCAUGAAUUUUAUUCCAUGAAGGAAAUUUGCAGAGCAGAAAACCAGUCUCUUCUCAAACCUCUGGAUUCACUGGUGUCCCUCCUGAUUUAAUAAAGGGAAAACAUCAGUGGAUCUGAGGGUUUUGGUUUAUAGUAAGAGUUUGGAUUUAAAUAGAAAUGAGAAGUCACUGUGUGUGUUCUAAACAGGAAGUCCCUUAAAUUACAGGGAAUGGUAAUGUAAACUGCAGGCUCUCACAGCUCUGGGAGUGUGGUCAUGAAGAGGCAGAUAAAGAAACAGAACACAGAGAGGGCAGCUGUGACAAUGAAGAACCCUCUGUUCCUCUGUCAGAGCCCAGAGCACCUCUGCAGAGGUAGUCCUUGGAGGAAUCAUAGAAUAUGGAUAAUUUGAGUCCAAGUCGCAAGGUUUGAAAGACCAGGGCCACUUGAUAGGAAUGCAAAUGCUGGACAUGGGAGAUUCCCUGGUGCUGCCCCAAAACCAGAAUUCACCUGCCACUAAAAGCCCAGGCUGGUGGCCCUAUCUUCUUUGGACCUGCAGGGGAGCUCAGAUGUGUGGCGAUGCCCUGAGUGGCCUGCUACAUCUCCCAGGUGACUCCCCAGUCCUCAACCUGGUCCACGUGUCUCCUGCAGGUGCAGUGGGUGGUGUGGAAUCUUCCUCUUUUGGAUCCUCCCUAUCUUAGAUGAGGUCCCUUGUGGAACUUCUCCACAGGAGUAAGAAUCAGGGUCCUGGAGACUGUGUUUCCAGAAGCCAUGCAGAAUUCUGAGUUCAGGACAAAAGAAAUUUGACCAUGGCACCAAUCUGCAGGAGGUGAGGUGUGAGACUCAAGGUGAUCUGAGGCAAGUUGUCAUUUGAUCACCUGGGGAGUGAGCAUGCUGUUUACUAUUAAAAUAAGAUUGACAUUUGGACUGACCUUGAACAGCUGUGGCCCAGCCUCCUCCUCCAGGGUGAACCAUGAUUAAAUGAAGGCCUAGGAGAUGCCAAUCAGUGGCCUGGGAAUUUAAGCCCUGAUAGCUGAGGGUUCCUUACCUCUCAUGAAAUGUGUCAUCUUCUGAGCUGAGAACUCAUGGGUGUGGCUACCCCACACAAAAAGGGCAGGGGAGAGAGACAAUCUUUGCCUACAGCAAAGAAGGAACAGGACAUCUGGUGUGACCUGGUUGAACAUGGUGAGAAAGACCCCUGUGGGAGAUCCUUUUCCCAGGAUCCAUUGAAAAUUAAGAAUCAAUUAUGGAUUUUGAGUGUCAGAGAAAGUUUUCUUUCUCCCUGUCAUGUGCUUUAGAUUUAUGAAAGGGCCCAGGAGAGAUCAUUUCCAACACUUGUUAACAUGGAGCUUCCACAGAAAUCUGAAGUACCUAAAGGGGAUGGGGUGUUUUUUUUGUAGGAAAUUUCCUGUCAGUUCUAGUGGUUGUGGGAUGAUUUCCUUCUCCAAGUUUGCUGCUGGGAGGGAGUCCAACAGCCUGUCCAUCACUCUCCAGAGAUUGCCCUGGACAAAUUGACUACAUCUUCAUGUCUCUGGUGCUGUAUUUGUGCUUCCUACUGAACUCAUAGAAAAUCUAAGUCUUCACCAAAGAUUUUCACUUUCACCAUCAGAUCCUUUGCCCACAACUGCAGGCAGCCUGGACUUCAUCUCCUUGGUUUCCCUCCUGUCACAGAAGACAUUUUGUUCAUUCAAAGUCUGUCCACCCUACCCACCCCAUUGGUUCUUUCCACCCAGCUGCACCCACCAGGGCAUUUGCAUGCUGCUCACUGGGGAGGGGGGAGGCUUCCUGAAAGGCUAACAUAAAGCUCAGCUCUAACCUGGCCUUGACUCACCAGGACUCCUCAGCUCAGCUUCUCAAAAUGAGGCUCCCUGCUCAGCUCCUGGGGCUGCUACUGCUCUGGAUCCCAGGAUCCAGUGGGGAUGUUGCGCUGACUCAGACUCCCCUCUCUGCCUGUUACUCCUGGACAGCCAGCCUCCAUCUCCUGCAGGUCCAGUCAGAGCCUCCUACAUAGUAAUGGAAACACCUAUUUGAGUUGGUAUCUGCAGAAGCCAGGCCAGUCUCCAAAGCUUCUAAUCUAUAAGGUUUCCAACCGGUUCACUGGGGUCCCAGACAGGUUCAGUGGCAGUGGGUCAGGGACAGAUUUCACACUGAGAAUCAGCAGGGUGGAGGCUGAGGAUGCUGGGGUGUAUUACUGCUUUUAAAAUACACAUGUUCCUUCCACAGUGGUGCAGCCCCGAACAAAAACUUCCCUGUCUGGGUGGCCCAGCUGCCACCUGUGCUGCUGCUCUCGGCAGCAGCUCAGCAGAUUGUCUGAGACGAAGAAGCUGCAGCUGAGGGCUCUGGACCUUGAGUGCCAUGGCCACAGCUCAGUCACCAUCUACCAAGGUCCCAGCAGCUGCAGAAGCCCUGGUGUGUCACUGGCACAAAGGAGAUUUCUGGGGAAAAUAUGUGCUCCAAGUUGAAAUGAAGUAGGUCAAAGAGCAACUAGAAACCAUUCAAAACUACAGAGUUCUUCUGUCAAAACAAACACAGGAAACAAUUUUUAAAUCAUUAGUGUAAUUUCAUUAUAACCCUAGUCUUGUUUUUCACAGGAUUUUUAGGAACUAUAUUAAUGAUCAUCGUCUCUAAAGCAUUACGUUAACAUCUGCACAACAAACAGGAGUGAAUUGACAUUAGUCACAUCAGAGGAUGCGGAGAUGUAAGAGAGGGCAGUGAUUAAAGGAAACUGAAGUCAAAUUGUCACCAGCUCAUGUUAAGAUGUUAUAAAUUUAGUGUGUUAUAUUUCAACCCCAAAUUCACCAAAACAAAGGAAACAAUAAGCUGUCAUAUACACAGGAAAAAGAAAAUGGGAAGGAAAUAAAAAUAUUUUACCCCAAAUCAACUAAAAAUAAAAGAGAAGAUGCUCAAAUAGACAUGACUCAGAAAGAAAGGUUUAAAAAAAAUGGCAAAGGGAAAUUUUUUCCCUUCUGUAAUUCUGCUAAUGUUAAUAAAUUAACCUUCCAUUAAAAUAUGUAGAUUGGCAACAUUGAUUGAAACUGUAUAUCUACAUGCUGUGUCCAAUAGUCUCACCCUAGAUCUUAGAACAAGCAGAGCUUGACAGUGAAAACACGGGAAAAUAUCAUAGGCAAAUACUGAGCAAGAGACAAGAAAUGAGUUAUGCUCUUAUCCGACAUCUGUAAGUUUGUCAAAAUUGCUUUCGGGACAAAGGAGGAAAUUCUAUAAUGAAAACAGAGUUAAUUCACCAGAACAGCCACAUACAUGUGCACUAAACAUCAGGGCUCCAAAACACAUUUAGAAACAGGGACAGCUAGGAGGGACAAACAGACUAUAAUACAGUAACAGAAGGGACACCUCUAUUGUACUUUCAAUAGUCCCUGGGACAAACAGACAGAGGAAAAGUCAGAAAACAGACACCUGCAGCAAUAUGACCCACCUAACAGACACGUAGGAGGAUUCCACCCACAAUGGCUUGUUACAUGAUUGCUCAAGUGCACGUGCAAUGUUCUCCAAGAUCCUACAUGUGUUAAGCCACAAAACAAAUCUGAAUGAUGUUAUAAAGCCUUAAAACAUAGAACAUGCAAAUUAUCUCCUCUGAAGAAAAUGGUAUGAAGUUACAAAUUAACAGCAGAAUGUAAACUGGAAAAUUCACAGAUAUGAGGAAAAUAACAUACUCAUAUGUAAGAACUGGGUCAAUGUAUAGGUUUUACUCAGCUCUUCAUCCCUGAGACACAAAGAGUAGACAGGAACAACUUAGUUCGUCACAGGGCAUAGUGAUGUUCUUGGCUUCAGAGAUUCAAUCCAUGGCCAACUGGCUCCAUAUCUCUGGGCUCUGGGUGAGGCAGAACAUCAUGGCAGAAGACACGGCAGAGAGAAGCAGCUUAGGACAUGACAAGGUCUCCAGGGGAAGGGGGGCAGGGGGCAUAGGCAGAACAAUUGUUCCAGGAAAUGCCCCCAUGACCCAUCUCCCCCAGCCUUGCCCCACCUGUCUAUAGUUAACACAGGAUCAGUCCAGAUUUUAAAAUUCUUGAUUUUAUUUCUUGCACUUUAGGAGUCUUGUUAAAGAAGUGGCUAUCUAAUCUAUCGUGAUGGAGAUUUUGGCAUACAUUUUCUUCUAUUAGGCACAGGGUCUCUGGUCUAAUUUCUAGGUCCUUGACCCAUUUUGAGUUGAGUUUUGUGCAUGGUGAGAGUUAGGGGUUAGAUUUCAUUUUGCUGCAUAUGGCUUUUCAGUUUUCCAAACACCAUUUGUUGAAGAGGCUGUCUUGUCCCCAUCUCAGCUCCUGUGCUUUCUGCUGCUCUUCAUCUCAGGUGAGCAAAGGAAGGGGACAUGAUGCUCUGAGCCACCUUCCCAUGGACAUUGCCAGAGGGGACCCACUGAACAUGUGCCUGAGACAAUCUUUCUCCAAAGGAAAUGGAUCCCUCACCCUAAAUGUUUCCUUUCAAUAGUGAAGUAUAUAUGCUUUGCCCGGGUUAAAUUGUUUGUGUCCUUACACUGACCUUGAAAAGUCUUAUGAGAUUGCAGGUGUGAAAAUGGGUACUGCUCUCACCCAGUCCCCAGCUCUCCUGGCUGUCUAUCCUAGGGAAAGAUCCACCAUCACCUGCACAACCAACCCCAAGGAGAACUUCAAGUUUUCUUGAUACCAGCAGAAACCAGGCCAGGCCCCGAACCUCCUGGUGCAUUGCACAUUCACCCUGGCUUCAGGAGUCCCAGCAUAGUUCAGUGGCAGUCAUUUGGGAGCAUAUUUUACCCUCACCAUCAGCAACAUGGAGACAAAUGAUGCUGGCACUUAUUACUGCAUUGAGUGGCCAGGAGACCACAGUGACAAAUCCCUGAACAAAAACCCUCACAGCUGGGGAGAGCAGUGGCACCUCAUGAUGCAUGAAUCCCAGGGUCCUGGGUGUGACUGCCACUCCUCUGAGGCACUGUGUUUGUCCUGUCACCUGCAGAAACACCUCUGGAUGUUACCAAAUUACCCAGCACUGCUUUUCCAGAAGAAAGGUGGUGGAAUUUGGUGACAUCCCUGGAGGAUUCCAGGAGGAAGGUCAGACAUGGAGCAUGAGGUGUGCUUUGACUGAGCAGCUGCCCUUCCAUAGCAUGUCUGCACGGAGCCAUGAGGACACAGCAGAUGUGAUGACUAAAACCUUCCUCAACUAAUGGGAAUCUGAGUCCUGGAGGUAGAUAGUCACAAUUAAUUAUAUUCAUAACUAAGGGUAAAUUCUAAGCUGAAGCUUCCCUUGAGAGAACCUGCAGCCUCACUCCACACAAUGCAGGGUCAGGCACAGAAAGAGGUUGAAAAGGAGAUAGGGGUGGUGCCCCUCAACCAGAAGACCCCCAAGCCCUCUCCUACUCAAGAUGGAAACCACCUCCCAAUAUGCCUUUGGCAGGAAGCCCAGCUUUAACUCAUAGGUCUUGGGGGACAUUUAUCCAAACCAAAGCUCAGAUUAGAGGUUGUGUCCUGUGCCACCCAGAGGAGCAGAGCAAUGAGUGAAGCUUGUCCUGCUUCAGAAUAAUGUCUCCUCUUGUGUAAGGGACAGAAGAUGAGGAACAGAGGAUCUGAAAUCCCAGAGUGUCUAGGUC